GCCUUUGUGGUGUAAUGGUCAGCACGCUCGACUCGUAACCGAGAGAUCCGUGGUUCGAUUCCCGGCGAAGGCG
rnacentral:tRNA from 1 species